UGGACUUUGGCUUCUGCCCUCCUUUGGCAGUUUUACAGGCUGCGUCGCGGAGGACAAUGAAAGAGGCUUUAAGGGGACUGGACAGGAAGGAUUUUGCGCAGGGUGUGCUCCUCUAUCUUUAUGGAAGAGGGGAUACAGACACAGACAUGUGUGCACACAGAAUGAAGACCAUAAAAACAGAGACAAGACAGCCAUCUACAAGUUAAGUAGAGAGGCCUCUGAAGAAGCAAUCCCGCCAACACCUUGAUCUUGGACUUCAAGCCUCUAGAACUGUGAGAAAAUAAAUUUCUGUUUGUUGAAGCCUC